GCACCAAGCACCAUUGGGAAUUGAGGUUUGCAGAGGAACAGGGGGUUUUACCAAAAGGGGUUUUGCCUGUCUGGAAGUUAGUGAGAAAUUGCAUAGAAGAUAAAGAUGUGGCGCAGAACUCCAGAGAGAGGAGCGCUGUCAAUUGGUUUGGGAGAGACGGUCUGUUUGUGUUUCCCCAGGAUCACAACAGCUGUGGGUCCCAGAACAGCUGACCAGAGCAAUUCAAAACAAGCAGAGCUAUGAGGACGUGGAUGUUCCUGUGGCUGGGAAUGCUUCUGCUAGUGAGAACUGAAGAGCUACGUUGGGGAAUUAUGUCUGUGUUCCUGAGGCCCAUGCUGUUGACGCAUUCAAGUGUUUCCUCAAUUCUUUACAUCUAAUGCUUCGCUACAAUUGCCUUUUUUCUAUGCUGCUUCAGCUAAAGGGAUUGUUCUGUUUUCAGAUGAUUCAAAAUAUUUCAUAGAUGAGUGAUUGUGUUCAGCUGUAUCUACUAAAGCUAAUGCUACCUGGAUUUGAGGGGUUUGGCUUGCCAGUAUAUCCAAGGGCAAUGGCACUAUACCCUCCCAACCUAGAUGGGCCCCCCUUCCUUUUUGUAGGAAUGUUCCUGAUUCUCUUCUACCUUGGGCAGUGCCCCUUAUAUGUAUGGUUGUUAUGUGGGGUGAAUGGUAGUUGCACUGAUUUUUCCCCCUUAAGCCAGGUGGCGGGAGGGGCCUGGGAUAAUGCAAAUUUUAUUGGAAUGGUUCUAAUGUGUUUGAAACUUCUGUAUUUCAAUUUGCUAGAGGAAGGAAUGUUUCUUUUCAGGCUAUGCCUGUUUGUAUGUGACCUCCUUUUGUGUUUAUUGUUUAUAAGAUCCCUUGCUUCAGGGCUGUGGUAGCCCUGGGAUGUAUGCUUGUAAUAGUGUGUGUGUUGUGUGUUUGGCGCAUGUGUCAGGUGCAGCGUGUGCAGGCCUGCACUUUUGCCAUGGUAGCGCAGGCUUUUGCCGCAGUGGAGGCGGGACAAUCUCCUUGCCGCUCUAAAGAAAUAAUGCUGCAUUAUGCCAUGGGUUGUGAGGCUAAGCACUGCACAGAGGAUAGUUUGCUGUUGGCAUCCUGUGGAAGGCACGUCUGAUUGCAUGAAGGUUCAGUGUCCUAGUUCCCUUCCCCCAGGAAAAACGACAUGGAAGCUGGCCAAGACCUCUCUGGGUGAUGAGCCCAAGGGAUGGUUUUGUGUAGGGCCCCUAUGCUUGCACACUGGGGAUCAGACCUCUACCUUCACCCAUGAGGCUUGCUUGCAGCAAUCAAGAUCUGGCCAUAGAUUAAUCAGUAUCCUGGCCUUCUGAUGCACCUGCCCCAUGCAAUCAGGACAAUCUCCCCAAGUGUGGCUUGGCAUGAUAGAGAAGUAGUCAGUGACGGAUAAGACUCCCUGGGCAUGUCACCAACCUAAGACAGGGAUCAAACCAAUGCUGUUUGUCUCCCAAGGACGGGUAAGGGGCAUUGCUGCAGGGGGCAAUCUAAGACAGACGUUCUCUCUGCCAAAAAGAAAAAACGGGGAGAUGUGAGGAGCGGGUGUGGCAGCAGUCCCAAGAAGGCGCCAGGGACUGCAGCUAAGUCUUAUGACUUGCACCUGACUUCCUCAUACACCUGAAAAUAAGCCACAACCAUCGUGAGAGCUGCGCAGGUGCACCAGGAUACUGGCGAAUCCAUUUUGGUGGAGACAUGCCCCUGCUGCCCUGAUUAGCUGAAGCUGCAUGCCUGGUGAGGUGACAUGGCCUGCCAUGAGAGGAUGAGGGCUGAGAGUAUAUAAGAGUGAGAGGCCCGGGUUAGAAAGAGAGAAAAAGUUGAGAGAGAAAAAGUUGAAGCGAGAGAGAUGAAGACGGAAGUUUGCUGAAUAAACUGCUGUUAGAAGG
rnacentral:lncRNA from 1 species